UAUUGAUUGAAGAUGAUGUGCAAACGAUGCGUAAACACGGGGCUGCCACUGGAGGCUCUUUGAUGAAGGUGAUGCCACAACACCUCUUUGGAUUCACGGGAACUUUGGAUAUUAAGGAGACUUGAAGAUGAUCUUCAAGUGGAAACCUUCCACCAAGGUAUGAACUAUUUCUUCACCCUUUUUCAAACUAUGGAACUUUGAAAAUUAUGAAAAGAGAGAAGUGAGAAAGCUAGUAGUAUAGUAGCUUUGGUGUGAUUUGCAAUGAAGAGAACACCUCUAUUUAUAGGAAAAGCUUAGGAUGUGUUUGGCAUAAAAAUUAACUUGAUUGGCAAGAUUGUAAUCAUUGAGAAAAUAAGAAUAAGAAUAAGAAUAUUCUCCAUGUCAUUAUGCAAA